rnacentral:rRNA from 1 species
AUUGAACGCUGGCGGCAGGCCUAACACAUGCAAGUCGAACGGUAACAGGAAGCAGCUUGCUGCUUUGCUGACGAGUGGCGGACGGGUGAGUAAUGUCUGGGAAACUGCCCGAUGGAGGGGGAUAACUACUGGAAACGGUAGCUAAUACCGCAUAACGUCGCAAGACCAAAGAGGGGGACCUUAGGGCCUCUUGCCAUCGGAUGUGCCCAGAUGGGAUUAGCUAGUAGGUGGGGUAACGGCUCACCUAGGCGACGAUCCCUAGCUGGUCUGAGAGGAUGGCCAGCGACAGUGGAACUGAGACACGGUCCAGACUCCUACGGGAGGCAGCAGUGGGGAAUAUUGCACAAUGGGCGCAAGCCUGAUGCAGUCAUGCGGCGUGUAUGAAGAAGGCCUUCGGGUUGUAAAGUACUUUAAGCGGGGAGGAAGGAAGUAGAGUUAAGACCUUGGCUCAUUGACGUUGGCCGCAGAAGAAGCACCGGCUAACUCCGUG